UCGGGGCAGAUACUCGUUUAAUAUUAUAGAAUAUAUUACACGACACUAAUUUCCCCGUAAAGUAAACUUUUAAAGACCAUUUGAUGACUGCAGCAUUUUUAGAACCGUGCUGCGGACAGAUACGUGGCCUACAAUG